UGUUCUGUAGCUUAAUAGUAAGGGCACUCUCUUGGAAAGUGGGAGAUGUGAGUUAAAAUCUCCUCAGGCCUG
rnacentral:tRNA from 1 species